UAUUCUGAGGCAGCAUUUUACUGGGAAGUUGAUGAACUGAUUCCAUGGCACCACUAACACUCAUCUGACAGGUAAUGGAGCCAUGAGGGUUGGAGAAGGUAAAGGUGAGGUUCUACGAUGAAGUGCCACCGAAGGUGGGUCUGUCUGUGAUAAGACAACGCUGGUCGAGCACAGAGGAGCACCAGACUCUUUGCUCAUGAUUUCAUACUCUUGGGAGGGAUUUAUUACCACGAGAGACAGAUUAUUCUUGAGUCUUGAGUUUCUUCGUCCCGGAUGAGAGACUCUACAGACUUAACAACAGGUGACCCAGCCAGGACAUAGCCGUAGUGGUCCACCUCCUCCUCUUCCUCUGCCGGCCACACCUUAUACGAGGAAGGACUUGAUGCUGUUGAGAGUUUCCUCGGCCGGCUGACUGAUAUGCGAGGAUUACCCCUCUCGGAGCCGAACCUGGCCCUGUGAAGACUCCCGCUCCGUGAACCUUCCUCAUGCAGCUCUGCCUCUCUGCCACUCCCCCUGACCUCUGACCUCUCAGGCAGUGUCCGCACCGAGCUUAGUCGAGACCUCUGAAGCCACAGCUGGGACAGAAGAGCAAAGCAUUUGGACUGAUGCAGCGGAAAUGCAUCCAAUAUUUUUUAAAUUAGCUAGGGCUGACCCCGAAUAGUCGAAG